AGGAGGAUUCGGCCCACGGAAGUAGAGGAAAGUGGUGGACGGGGGACUAACGCGUGAUGAACCUGCCUUGAAUAAGGGGACAACACUUGGAAACCACUGCUAAUACCACAUGAAUCGUAGAGGUCGCAUGAUCUUUAUGCCAGAUAUUUAUAGCUUCAUCAUGGCCUCUGGUCUGAUUACCUAGUUGGCGGGGUAGCGGCCCACCUGGGCGACCAUAAGUAGCCGGACUGAUAGGUUGAACGGCCCCCUUGCUUACUGACAUACUUGCCCAGACUCCUACUGGAGGAACCUCUGGGGAAUAUUGGGCAAUGUGAGCAAGCCUGAUCCACCUCCGCCGCGUGAUUGAACAACGCUUUCGGGUUGUAAACUUCUUUUAACAGGGAAGAGCCUACGACGGUGCCUCUAGAAUAACCGAUUGCUAACUACUUGCCCUGAGCCUCGGUAAUACGUAAGGGGCCUGCGUUGUCCGGAUUUACUGGUGUAAAGGGCGUGCAGCUGGGUCGGCAGUCCAGAUGUGAAAUCCAUGGGCUCAACCCAUGAAGUGCAUUUGAAACUGUAGAUCUAGAGUGUCGGAGGGGCAAUCGGCAUUCUUAAUGUAGCGGUGAAAUGUGUAGAUAUUAGGAGGAACACCAGUGGCGAAGGCGGAUUGCUGGACGAUAACUGACGGUGAGGCGAGAAAGUGUGGGGAGCAAACAGGAUUAGAUACCAUGGUAGUCCACUCUGUAAAUGAUGAAUACUAGGUGUGCGGGGACUGACUCCGUGCGUGUCGCAGUAAACACAAUAAGUAUUCCACCGGGGGAGUACGAUCGCAAGGUUGAAACUCAAAGGAAUUGACGGGGGCCUGCACAAGCGGUGGAUUAUGUGGUAUAAUUUGAAGCAACGCGUAGAACCUUACCAGGGUUUGACAUCGUGGUAACGAAGUAGAGAUACAUUAGGUGCCUUUAGGGGAAAGCAGAGACAGGUGGUGCAUGGUUGUAUGUCAGCUUGAGUCAUGAGAUGUUGGGUUAAGUCACUCAUCGAGCGCAACCCUUAUUGUUAGUUGGUACUCAAGAGCACUCUAGUGAGACUCCCGUUGACAAAACGGAGGAAGGUGGGGAGGAUGUCAAAUCAUCAUGCGCGUCAUAUCCUGUGGUACACACGUAAUACAAUGGCGGUCAACAGAGGGAAGCAAACCCGCGAGGCAGAGCAAACCCU
rnacentral:rRNA from 1 species